CACGUAGGGGGCGAGCGUUGUCCGGAAUUAUUGGGCGUAAAGAGCUCGUAGGCGGCUUGUCACGUCGGGUGUGAAAGCCCGGGGCUUAACCCCGGGUCUGCAUUCGAUACGGGCUAGCUAGAGUGUGGUAGGGGAGAUCGGAAUUCCUGGUGUAGCGGUGAAAUGCGCAGAUAUCAGGAGGAACACCGGUGGCGAAGGCGGAUCUCUGGGCCAUUACUGACGCUGAGGAGCGAAAGCGUGGGGAGCGAACAGG
rnacentral:rRNA from 1 species